rnacentral:misc_RNA from 1 species
AUUUAAUAAUGUUAAAAUUAAAUAUUUAUUAUAGAAUUCAUAUAAGAUCAAUUAAAAUUAUGCAUAUAUAAUUAAAAUAACAUGUAAAUCAAUAAAGACAAUCUUUCUGUCCCAAAUCAAGCUGCUGUUUGUUGUCCUGAGCUGGUAUGCUGUUGCAGUCUGUUCUUGUUCAUCUUCUUAUUCCAAAACUUGCGCAGCUUCUUUACAGUCCACACAACAAACCGAACAAUUUCGAUUAUGGAACCCACCGCAAGCACCCCUAGGAACACGUAAUACAUUUUGAAAUCCAUCCGCCUAAGUUUCACUCUAUAUUUUGAUGGGCUCACCACAACCAUACCCAGUAUAUAGGUUGCUGCGAAGGACAAAUAUGUCACAUCUAUGGCCUGUGCUAAAAGCCACACGCACAACUUAUUCCGAAGAGGAAAUCCACCCACCACCAAAGCUAUGACGCUGAGAGAUGCAAAAAAAGCAAUACCGUUGACAGUUGAGUAAUAAAUGUAUGCGUCUGGAUAGGCAUAGGCUAGAACAGCAGUUCCAGCUUCACAUAUAUUUGUUUCGCUGCAUUCAGGACCACCAGAGUUAUUUGCAAAAUUUUGCUGCCACACACCACCAGGUGGGUUCAUUGCUGCUUGGAAAGUCACGGUUGCAAUUACUGUAGCCACUACCAUUAAGGCACCUCUUGAUUCUUCUACAUCGUAUUGCAAGUGUUUCAUGCAUUUCCCAAACCAUGAUUUUGCUUCUGAUCUUUUGGUAGAAUUUACAGCAGUUUCUGGUGCAAUAGAUAUAAUUGCACUAGUUGGUUGCGGUGAAAGAUUGCUGUUUAGCUUUACUGCUCUUUCAGCACCAGCUUCCAUUAAAACACGUCGAAUUUCUAGACUUUUGAAGUCCCUUGGACACUGUUCUGACAAAUCCAGGGCUGUCAAACCCAUUCCAUUUAAGUUAUUCAGUCUUUCUUUCACUUCAGGUAAUGAAAGGAGGUACCUUAUAGUCUGCUCAAGGGAAAUAUAUACAUAAAUCUCUAUUACUACUUUAAAUUUGCGUGUGUAAAAGAAAUUGUUUGUUUAUUGAUAAUAAAAAGCUUAAAUUACCUCCAAUUGGUUUAGCAUGGCGGCUAAAUGCAAGAUGGUAUUGCCAUCUUGAUUUCUCAAGUUGAUAAAAUCAUCAUUAAGCAUUGGGACCAAUGACUUCAGAGCAUCCAAAUGGUUAUAUUUUACACACAGAUGCAAGACUGUGUCUCCAUCGAGAAGCACUGAAAUGGACUCAGAACUUGCACAAACCAAUUCUUGAAUUGCUUCAACUCUGCCUCUCAUGGCAGCUAAGUGGAGAGGAGUUCUACCAUCUUGAUCACGAGCCAAGCAAACGUCUUUGUCUUGAAUUAGCAAAGCUUUGACAAUCUGAGUAUGGCCCUCAGCAGAAGCCAAGUGAAGAGGAAACCUUCUUAACGAGUCACAUUCUGAGGCCAUUUUAGGACAUCUUUCAAGAAUAGCUAUGGUGAAAUCAAGAUGGCCAAGCAAAGCUGAAAUGUGCAAAGGUGUUUCAGUGAAGUGGGUAAGUGAAACUUUAUUGAGAAUGAGUUGGUCUUUUUGGAUCAAUCUGCGCAAGGUUGUGAUGCAGCCCCUCAUUGCUGCUUCAUACAACAUUGUUGAAUCUUCUGUGUACGGCCUAACCUCCAUGGUUGUUCUCUCUUCUCUCUCUCCUUUCACCAAGAAAUAAGAGAAGAAUCCUGCGUACCAAAGAACCAAGAGUGGAGAUUUCAGAUGUACAGAGUUUUUA